UAGUCAGGUGGGAUUACCUAUUGAGUUUAAGCACAUUGAUAAGCAGAGAAAAAAAAACUUACCAGGAGUCCCUUAGUAACGAUAAGCGAACUGAGUAGAGCCUAGCUUGAGAAUCGAGCACCCACAACAUCUGAAUUGUAGUUUGGAAAAGCAUCUUUAGUAGUAGACUAAGUCGAACUCCUUUAGAAAGGGGCACCAAGAGGUUGAGAGCCCCAUUAUGCCAAAACCUUAUCACAUCAUGAGGCAUUGUUUAUGAGUUAGGUUGUUUAAAAAUACAGCCCCAAUUGGGUUAUAAAUUCUAUGUGAGGCUAAAUACACUCGAAAGAUCAAUAGCGAACAAGUACCAUAAGUGAAAGAUCAAAAGGACUUUAAAAAGAGAAUUAAAUAGUGCUUGAAAUUGUUGGGAAAAAAGCAAAUGGGGCCAAUGAUGCACCCCAGUCGAAUGUAGAAUGGCAAAAGAUAGUCUAUCAAUCGGCUCAAGAAGUGGACCAAUUUACGUCACAGCAGCAGCCCAAGCCCAAGCUUUUGAUAUGCCCUUAGAGACAUUGUCACCAUGAUUGUGGAAUGCAACACACACCACCUUGGUGUAACUUGGUACCCACGUGCUCUUGACAUCAACCUGUAAGCUCCCAAUCUAGCCCGCCUUAAAACAUGAACUAAGGAGUCUGACAUGUGUGUGAGUCAAUGGGCUAGGAAACCCGUAAGGCAUAAGAAAGUUGAUUGGUGGGAUACCCCAUGGGUGCACUACCUACCAACCUUGAUCUUUUAAGAAGGGUUUAAGUGUGAGCAUGCAUGACAAGACCUAAAAGAUGAUGAACCAUACCUGAGCAAGGUGAAGCAAAGAAAACUCUAGUGGAGGCCUACAGUGAUAUUGAUGUUGAAAUUGUUCAUCUAACUUGGGUAUAGAGGCAAAAAACUAAUCAAACCAUCUAGUAGCUAGUUCCCUUUGAAGUUUUUCUUAGGAUAGUUGUACCUUUAGUGAGUUCUAUAGGGUAAAAGGUAAUGAUUAGAGGCAUUAGGGGUGCAAUGCCCUUGACCUAUUCUCAAACUUUAAAUUGGUAGGAUGACGUUGCUACAUCAUUGAGCCAUGCCAUGGAAUCAAUAGCUCUAAAGGGGCCAUUUUUGGUAAGCAAAACUAGCAAGGUGGGUUGAACCGAAAGUCGAGUUACAGUGCCCAACUACAUGUUAACUUAAAACCCAUAAAGGGGUUAGUCAAUUAAGACAGCAAGAUGGUGGUCAUGGAAGUCAAAAUCUACUAAAGAGUAUGUAACAACUCACCUACCAAUCAACUAGACUCAAAAAAAUGUGUGACCUAUACCUGGCUAUCGGGGAAAAGAUCAGGCCUUGAUGAGUAAAUAGGCAAGGUGAUCAUUGCAAAACCCAGAUCUUGGUGGUGGUAGCAAAUAUUCAAAUGAAAAUUUUGAAGGCUAAAGAGGAGAAAGGUUCCAUGUGAACUACACUUGCACAUGGGUUAGUUAAUCCUAAGAGAUGGGGGAAAUUCAUCCGAUAGCACAUCCAGUGUUAGCUUUAAAAGGGAAUUGGGUUAAAAUUCCUAAACCAGAAUGUGGUAGCUAACAACAACAUUAAGGAGUCUAGAAACAUUGGUGAUGGCCUAAGGAAGAGUACUCUUUUCUGUUUAAUGGCCUGCCCACCCUAGAAAUGAUUUAGCCAAAGGUAGGGUCUAACAGCUAGAAGAGCACUGUACAUUAUGCAAUGUCUAGUGUACCCUUGAUGGCUCUUAAAAUUUUAGAGGAUCGAGUGCCAUCUGUGCUUGGUUAUACUCAUAAUCGCAUCAAGUCUCUUAGGUGAAUAACCUCUAGUAGAUGGAAUAAUAUAGGUAGGGGAAGUUACCAAAAUGGAUCUAUAAGCUCAAGAAAAAGACUAGCUUUGAAGGCUAGGCAUAGGGGUCCCAGUCUUGAGCCCAUUGACUGUCAAUGUGCCACUCUAGCUACUCCCACGGUGUGAGUGGGCCAUAGCUUACUAGUUGAGGGAUGGACUAGGAAUGCCUCCCUUGUGGGCCUUUCUUGAGUGAUGAACAGUCAACUCAAAACUGGUAUAGGCAAAGGGAAUUCGAUUAUUUAAUUAAAACAUAGCAUUAUGAUGGUCCUUGUAAAUGCUCACAUAAUAUGAUUUUUACCCAGUGCUCUGAUUGUCAACGUGAAAAAAUUCAACCAAGCAUGGGUAAAUGGUAAGAGUAACUAUGACUCUCUUAAGGUAGCCAUAUGCCUUGUCAUCUAAUUAGCAAUAGGCAUGAAUGGAUUAACAAGAUACCCACUAUCUCUGUCUACUAUCUAGUGAAACCAUAGCUAAGGGAAUGGGCUUGGUAGAUUCUGUGCGGAAAGAAGACCAUGUUGAGCAUAACUUUAGUUCAACUUUGUGAAAUGACUUAAUAAGUGUAUUAUAAGUGACAGCCCUCAGGUGAAAUUGAAAUACCACAACUUUUAAUGUUAUUUUACUUAUUCCAUAUAUCGGAGGUGGGGUACGACUUUUGGACCUAAGGCCAACCUCAAUUGGUUGAUCCUGGCAAAAACAUUGUUAGGUGGGGAGUUUAGCUAGGGUAGCAUAUCUGUUAAAAGAUAAUGUAAGUGUCUUAAGAUGAGCUUAAUGAUAAUAGAAAUCUCAUGUGAAAUAAAAGGGUAAAAGCUCAUUUGAUUAUAAUUUACAGUAUGAAUAUGAAUCAUGAAAACAUGGCCUAUCGAUCCGUUAGACCUUCAAAGUUUCAAGCUAAAGGUGUCAAAAAAGUUACCUCAAGGAUAACUGGCUUGUGGCAGCCAAUCGUUCAUAGUGACAUUGCUUUUUCAUCCUUUGAUGUCAACUUUUCCUAUCAUUAUGAAGUAAAAUUCACCAUGUGUUUGAUUUUUCACCCACCAAUAGGGAAUGUGAGCUUAGUUUAGACUAUCGUGAGAUAGGCUAGUUUUACCCUACUGAUGGUAGCAUCGCAAUAGUAAUUCAACCUAGUGUAAGAGGAACCAUUGAUUCUCAUAAUUGGUAAUCGUACUUGGUUGAAAAGUUGGUGGCGUGAAGCUACCAUACGCUAGAUUAUGACUAAACACCUCUAAGUUAGAAUCUAGGCUAGAAGUGGUGCAUGCACCUGUCGCCUAAUUGUUGACCUGCAAUAGAGGCCGAUGCCCCCUAAGGGCAUAUGUCAUAGUUGUAGCCCCUGCAAUAGACAAGCAACACGGGCCUCCUUAGAGCUCAAUUCCCACCAAG
rnacentral:rRNA from 1 species